rnacentral:rRNA from 1 species
UGAGGAAUAUUGCGCAAUGGGCGAAAGCCUGACGCAGCGACGCCGCGUGGAGGAUGACGGUUUUCGGAUUGUAAACUCCUGUUAAGUGGGAAGAAAGAAUCAUUUUUAAUAGAAGUGAGAGAUGACUGUACCAUUAGAGAAAGCACCGGCUAACUUCGUGCCAGCAGCCGCGGUAAUACGAGGGGUGCUAGCGUUAUUCGGAAUUAUUAGGGCGUAAAGGGUGCGUAGACGGUUUAUUAAGUCAACUGUUGAAUUCUCCGGCCUAACUGGAGGUCAGCGGUAGAUACUGGUAGACUUGAGGUUGGAAGAGAGAAGUGGAAUUCUCGGAGUAGCGGUAAAAUGCGUAGAUCUCGAGAGGAACACCGAUGGCGAAGGCAGCUUCUUGGUCCAAAUCUGACGUUGAGGCACGAAAGCGUGGGGAGCAAACAGG